AAGUUGUASCAAGGUUUCCGUAGGUGAACCUGCGGAAGGAUCAUUG
rnacentral:rRNA from 1 species